GAUGAACGCUGGCGGCGUGCCUAAUACAUGCAAGUCGAACGCGAGCACUUGUGCUCGAGUGGCGAACGGGUGAGUAAUACAUAAGUAACCUGCCCUAGACAGGGGGAUAACUAUUGGAAACGAUAGCUAAGACCGCAUAGGUACGGACACUGCAUGGUGACCGUAUUAAAAGUGCCUCAAAGCACUGGUAGAGGAUGGACUUAUGGCGCAUUAGCUGGUUGGCGGGGUAACGGCCCACCAAGGCGACGAUGCGUAGCCGACCUGAGAGGGCGGACGGCCACACUGGGACUGAGACACGGCCCAG
rnacentral:rRNA from 1 species